rnacentral:tRNA from 1 species
GCGGGCGUGGCGGAACUGGCAGACGCGCUAGGUUUAGGUCCUAGUGGCCGAAAGGCCGUGGGGGUUCAAGUCCCUUCGCCCGCACCA